AGGAUCCAAAUUAGAUAAUAAAAUAUAAAACAAAUAUAAGUAGCUCCCAGCAUAUAUUGUGCAUGCAUAACAUACAAUCCUAAAGAUGUUUUAUGAAUGGUCACAACCAAGGUAUGCUGAACCGGUACCAUCGGCCGUUUCGGUCGGCCGGCGGUACAGUUCGGUAUGAUUUCAUACCAUACCAAACCGACAAUCCGAACCGGAAGAAAAAAAGAGAGAUAGAGAGAGAAAGAGGAAAACAAAAAAGAGGGAGGGGAGGAAGCCGGCGGGGCCGCCGGACGGCCUCCGAGUGGCCGCCGUGGCUGUCGGAGGGCGCAGUCCACGCGCGCGGCGCCGCAGGCGCGAAACAGGGGCAUCGCCCCUGUUUUGCAAUUUUNNNNNNNNNNNNNNNNNNNNCCGUGGCUGUCGGAGGGCGCAGUCCACGCGCGCGGCGCCGCAGGCGCGAAACAGGGGCAUCGCCCCUGUUUUGCAAUUUUUUUAAAAAACAUGGUUUU
rnacentral:lncRNA from 1 species